rnacentral:tRNA from 1 species
GGGGUUGUGGCUCAGUGGCAGAUUGCUUGCCUUGCACACAUGAGGCACUGGAUUCAAUCCUCAACACCA